AUACUUACUUGGCAUCAGAGAUACCCUGAUCAUGCAUAUGGCAGCCCAGGGCGUGGUUCAGCCACUGCACCACAGCUGUGCAGCUCGCAGUGAACUUCCUAGGUGAUGGGAUUUUGACUGAUUAAUUUCUGGUAGGGGGGGAGCUGUGUCCACGUUCUUCCA